rnacentral:rRNA from 1 species
AUUGAACGCUGGCGGCAUGCCUUACACAUGCAAGUCGAACGGCAGCGGACCUUCGGGUGCCGGCGAGUGGCGAACGGGUGAGUAAUGUAUCGGAACGUACCUUUCAGUGGGGGAUAACGUAGCGAAAGUUACGCUAAUACCGCAUAUUCUGUGAGCAGGAAAGCAGGGGAUCGCAAGACCUUGCGCUGAUUGAGCGGCCGAUAUCAGAUUAGCUAGUUGGUGAGGUAAAGGCUCACCAAGGCGACGAUUUGUGGCGGGUCUGAGAGGAUGAUCCGCCACACUGGAACUGAGACACGGUCCAGACUCCUACGGGAGGCAGCAGUGGGGAAUUUUGGACAAUGGGGGCAACCCUGAUCCAGCCAUGCCGCGUGAGUGAAGAAGGCCUUCGGGUUGUAAAGCUCUUUCGUCCGGGAAGAAAUCGCAUCAGCUAAUACCUGGUGUGGAUGACGGUACCGGAAUAAGAAGCACCGGCUAACUACGUGCCAGCAGCCGCCGUAACAC